CAGUUCUAAACAAAAAGUGGAUAAAUGAAGCACUCUGCUGGGACUGCAGGUCACGUUUUAAUAAUCUCAGGUUAAUGAGAUGUCAGUCUUCUCUCCACCCCAGGAUAAGGCAAAACUGCAGAAAACUUUUUAUCUUAUGUACCUGCUGCUAAAAGAGUUCUGCAUUAUGUUCCUCUGAUAUAUACCUGCUUGGGCCAUGUCAGCAAGUACAUGAGAAAAACAUGAUAGGCACAAUCUACCUCAAGCCACUGAUAAUUUCCUAGCAGGGUGCCAGGCUUCAUCUCGGCUGAACGAGGCUGGAGCGAGCAUGCCAAGAUCUGAGCCAAGGCUAAUCACCACAGGAACUGCACCCAGGAUGAAAUUUCCCCAAAACACAUGAGAAUUAGCAGAGAGGCAGUACCUCCCGGGCAGAAUAUAACGCACUGAUGAGUCACAGGGGCUGACUGGACACCCUUGCAGUGAGCACCAGCCCGGAGAACUGGCAGUGCCUGUCAUUCCUGCCUGAUUACGAACACAAGCUGCAGGGCUUGCAGGGUCUGCACAAGGGACCGGCUUGUUUGUGCCGACCUACCAGAACCCCAAAUUGGCCCGUAAAAACCCGGAGCACGGCGCACCAGCUGCAGCGAGUUAAAACCUCAGCUCCUGGAUGGAGUCGCGCGAGCAUCCCACUUGUGUCUGACAAACAGGGAAGCGUUGCAAAGGUUAUCCAUGCCUGGAAGGCAACACCAGACCCAGGAACUCACAUUUUUGAAGCUGUCGCUCGGGGACUGCUGAACAUGUAUAUUAUGACUGUAGGAGUGAAGCUCAGAAGCACGGUGUGCAAGAAGCUGAGUUCUCACCAGGGGCUGGGAGGAGAAUAAUUCAGGAGAAAAUCUUUCUCUUUUCAGUGUUUUUUUGUUUUUUUUUUUUUCUCUUUACAUAACCAAUUCAAAUAGUUAUAUUCCUCAGCUGUUAGGAAAUCAAGCACAGAGCUGGUUCCCAAACCGUAUAAAGCUGGCCAAGAGGAGGACAAGGGGUGGUUGUUGGGGGCCCUGUUAGCACCCCUCUCCCUCCGGCCCCCCCCAAGGAACAUAAAUCAGGAUGCCACCCCAGAAGAGCCCUGUGCUACUGCAAAAAAUGCUGCUUUGCAGAUCUACAGCUGAUGGGGCACAGCGCUCCCUCCAAGGAGCAAACCCUGCUCCAAGAGGGUUCAUUUGGAGGUUGUGUUUUGGAGGGUUUCUCCAAGUUCCUCCACCCUCAGUGGAGAUAGGAACCAGAAUACCAAGUGGCUAGGCAGCAUCCCCUGUGAAAACACAACCUCGCAGCUGUUGGUAAGUGGCAGAGCAGGUCCCUGCGUGGAAGCCACCAUUUCCAAAGAUG
rnacentral:lncRNA from 1 species